GGCUCGGCGGCAAAGAAACAGGAGGAGAAGGCGGUUCAGCUUCUUGACCUUGAUUAAGUUUAAGAAUAAGCUUAAGCUUCUUCUCUCUCCUCCUCUCUUCUUCCUCGUCUUCUUCCUCGAAGUCUUCGUCCAGGUAAUCGUCGUAAUCGAUGUUAUACCUCACAUUUCUCCACCGGUGACUCCGCCGCAGCUCCGAUUCCGUCGCUGCUGCCGGCGAACUUCCCCUUUUAGCCAGAUCCGCCUUCGAUGGCCUCCCUUUCUUCUUCCUCUUCACGAUCUGCCCCAUCUCUUUACACCUUUUCUCUCUCAAAAAAAAAAAAAACCCUCACACACACUCCCCCCUCUCUCUCUCUCUCUUCUGUUGUUUUUAUUUUUAUUUUUAUUUCCACUUUCUCUCUCUUAAAUUUUUUUUAUUCCAUUUAUUUUUUUCCAGAUAGCGUCUUGGCCUUUUUCCCGAGAUUUCCGACCCUAUAUCCGAGGCUGUAGGUUCGUAUAUAAAUAAAAAAUGAGUGUGAUGUUUUUCUUUUUUCUUCAGCGCGUGUGCAACACGCUCAUUAUAUGUAAUGACAUUCUAAAAUUAC
rnacentral:lncRNA from 1 species